rnacentral:rRNA from 1 species
AUUGAACGCUGGCGGCAGGCCUAACACAUGCAAGUCGAGCGGAUGAAGGGAGCUUGCUCCUGGAUUCAGCGGCGGACGGGUGAGUAAUGCCUAGGAAUCUGCCUGGUAGUGGGGGAUAACGUCCGGAAACGGGCGCUAAUACCGCAUACGUCCUGAGGGAGAAAGUGGGGGAUCUUCGGACCUCACGCUAUCAGAUGAGCCUAGGUCGGAUUAGCUAGUUGGUGGGGUAAAGGCCUACCAAGGCGACGAUCCGUAACUGGUCUGAGAGGAUGAUCAGUCACACUGGAACUGAGACACGGUCCAGACUCCUACGGGAGGCAGCAGUGGGGAAUAUUGGACAAUGGGCGAGAGCCUGAUCCAGCCAUGCCGCGUGUGUGAAGAAGGUCUUCGGAUUGUAAAGCACUUUAAGUUGGGAGGAAGGGCAGUAAGUUAAUACCUAGCUGUUUUGACGUUACCAACAGAAGAAGCACCGGCUAACUUCGUG